UCGGGCUUAUGAACAUUCAAUUGUAAGGUAGUUUGAGAGGUAAAGGAAAGACCAAUCGUGAUGACUGACUCACGUGAGGGCCGGCCCACUGAGCAGGGGCGGAUGGUGUAUAGGGGCGAUUUGGGCGACGCACUACCAACUGGGAGAAAGAGGAUUUUUUUUCUAACAAAUUCUAUCACAGCAAAAGUGGUUUUCAGUGUUCUAGACAUAUUAUCUGUCAUUGUCCAAUCAGAAUCGUCAUAUUCAAGCCGCGUUUCAAAUGGUCCCGCCUCUCUGGGCGAAUUCAUUGAGGUGGAAAAUCGCCCAAGGAUUCUCCCAUUGACUGUCAUGUUAAAACUUUUUUUUUCGGAAAAUGAGCCUUCAAUGCAUUUCCAAUAGGGAUUUGGGACUCGCCCUAACGUGCUUGCGUCAUUGUGGCAAAGAGCGCAAAGGGCUUUCUUCGAUCAAGUCACUUGCUAAUUUCAACAUGGCUCAACAAAAUCAACAAAAUUAAUAAAAAAGCGGUCGCACGUCGACAUUCUGUACCAGAAGCUCCAGAAGAAGGACAUUGAUGCAUGGGCCCUCGAGAGCUUUACAAGCAGUGUGCAGACCAUUAGAGACUCUGACCAGCUGCAAGAGCCAUCAGGAAACGACAGACCAAGGACGGCUUUGACAGAAGAGGCGAAGCAGAGGCUGUCUGAAGAGGUCUGCGACAUCAUCCUGGCUCACACCAAAGCGAGGUUCUCUUUCACUGGCCACCUUGUGAGUGCUACCUUAGCACAAGGAAAUAUGUUUGAAAGGUACUGCCAAUCAUUUCCUGCUGAUGCUCUGAAUGCCACUGUGAAGGCAUAUCCCACGCUGAACAAGGCAAAGCUCAAGACGGAACUGUCUCUGAUCUAUGAGAAUCCUGAAUCAAGUGUGCAGCUUCAGUGUGCAUAUUGUAUGUAGUUCUCUGCAAACCUAUGGUGGCAUCAUGCCUUCAGUGUGCAUAUUGUAUAUAGUUCUCUGCAAACCUAUGGUGGCAUCAUGCCUUCAGUGUGCAUAUUGUAUAUAGUUCUCUGCAAACCUAUGGUGGCAUCAUGCCUUCAGUGUGUCUUGAACAACCACACAUGAAAGGUUGCACAUAUUAGAUUGAUAUUUUAUCGUAUUUGUCUAAAUGCAUACUUGACUGUAGAUAGAUUUAUGAGGGAAGUUACCAACACAAUAGAUUGACUGUAACACACUCACUCUCACUCUCACUCAAACAAAUAUAGAGACAGAGAGAGAAUGUUAACUUGUGUAUAAUUCCCAAUUAUUAUUUAUGUAUUUGCACAUUUAAUCUUGCGGAAUUCUACAAGGCAAAUAAAUUAAGUUUAAACUUAG